rnacentral:rRNA from 1 species
CCUACGGGUGGCUGCAGUGGGGAAUAUUGCACAAUGGGGGAAACCCUGAUGCAGCAACGCCGCGUGCAGGAAGACGGUUUUCGGAUUGUAAACUUCUGUUCUUAGUGAAGUAUAAUGACGGUAGCUAAGGACCAAGCCACGGCUAACUACGUGACAGCAGCCGCGGUAAUACGUAGGUGGCAAGCGUUGUCCCGAAUUACUGGGUGUAAAGGGAGCGCAGGCGGGAUGCCAAGUCAGCUGUGAAAGCUACGGGCUUAACUUGUAAACUGCAGUUGAAACUGGUUUUCUUGAGUGAAGUAGUGGUUGGCGGAAUUCCGGGUGUAGCGGUGAAAUGCGUAGAUAUUCGGAGGAACACCGGUGGCGAAGGCGACCAACUGGGCUUUAACUGACGCUGAGGCUCGAAAGUGUGGGGAGCAAACAGGAUUAGAUACCCGGGUAGUC